GUAGUGCAACGGAUAGCACGCAAGCCUCCGAAGCUUGAAAUGCAGGUUCGAUUCCUGCC
rnacentral:tRNA from 1 species